CUUUUAUUUUAUCUGUAAGCAACAGUUUGAAGUUCAAAGCAUCUUAAUGCUGGAUUUGUUUCAUCUUUUGUGUUCUCCAGAUGUUAACUGAUGGACUGGAGUGCUGUGGAUUAUUGUGAUGUUUUAUCAGCUGUUUGGACUCUCAUUCUGACGGCACCCAUUCACUGCAGAGCAAGUGAUGCAAUGCUACAUUUCUCCAAAUCUGAUGAAGAAACAAACUCAUCCUGAUCUUGGAUGACCUGAGGAUCAGCCUGACGGGCAGGAGAGGUCACGAGGAGAUGUCACAGGUCACGGAGAGCCGCGAAUCACGCUUUAGCCUGAACAUUUUGACAUGCACCCAAUGAUUGCCACAGAGAGAGAGAGAGUCAUGUGACCCGGCAGAAAAAUUCAAUUAGAGCACGGAGGUUACAAGUUCUUGGAAACCGAAGGGAUGUGAGUCACAGUGUGAAGUGCAAAACCUUGGAAAAUGCUUUUAAUCACCGAUUCGAAGCUCCUGACAUUUUCGGCAACCGCUGCCAAACCCAUGUGACCUGAAGUACCCCCUGGUGUUUUAAGGCUUGAAUUCUUACUGCCACAUGUGAAGGACGAUAUGAGACACUGUGCUUCUGUCUGAGAGAAAGCAUGUGUUGAGCGAUGGAGAGCUGAGAUCGGAGGAGAGAGCCGGUCACCUGGAGUUUAAAAACAGCCCAGAGACUAUAAAUGAGGUUUACACGAGUCCUGUGAAAGAGGUAUUCAUCAACCGUGUUGUUUGCAUGGUGACUAAAGCUGAAGGAAUCUGUCAAUUCAACUCAACUUGAGCUCAGUGAAAGCUUUAAUGGUUUACAGCAGCGAAUGCAUGAUGACCUAAACCAGUGAGUGCUGUGUUGAUGCUCCUGGCGUCCUUCAAACUGAUUAUUCUGAUGUAAUGCAAUCACACUUAAUGAAUAAUUCACUCCAAAAUCAAACUUUUGUAAUUAUUUACUUGUCCUCGUGUCAUUGCAUGGAAAAGAGUUGCUUCAAAACUUCAGGUUUGGAUUGUUAGGGUAUGUUUACACCACAAUGAUG